AAUCAAGCUACUAAGAGCAGAUGGGGAAUGCCUAGGCGAUAACCGGCGAUGAAGGACGUGGAAGACUGCGAAAAGCUACGGUUAGCUGUCAACAAGCGUUGAUCCGUAGAUGUCCGAAUGGGGCAACCCGGCGGGGUUAAUACUCCGUCACUGAGUAAUCAGAGCGAACCCGGGGAAGUGAAACAUCUCAGUACCCGGAGGAAGAGAAAGUAAAAACGAUUCCGUAAGUAGCGGUGAGCGAACGCGGAACAGCCUAAACCAAGUUUCGGCUUGGGGUUGUGGGGCCCGCAUACGAUAUGAUGGAUGAUAGUAGAAGUGUCUGGAAAGGCACGCCAUAGAGAGUGACAGUCUCGUAUACGAAAUCAGAAAUCAGUCAGCGGUGUCCCCGAGUAUCACGGGGAACGUGGAGCCUUGUGAGAAUCUGGGAGGACCACCUCCUAAGGCUAAAUACGAGUUAUCGACCGAUAGUGAACUAGUACCGUGAGGGAAAGGUGAAAAGAACCCCUGUUAGGGGAGUGAAAUAGAACCUGAAACCAUCUGCUUACAAGCGGUCGGAGCAACUUUAUGUUGUGACGGCGUGCCUUUUGCAUAAUGAGCCUACGAGUUACGAUAUGCAGCGAGGUUAAGACGUUAGUCGAAGCCGGAGGGAAACCGAGUCUGAAUAGGGCGAAUAGUUGUAUGUUGUAGACCCGAAGCCAACCGAUCUAUCCAUGGGCAGGGUGAAGCGACGGUAAGACGUCGUGGAGGCCCGAACCGAUAUACGUUGAAAAGUGUUCGGAUGACCUGUGGAUAGGGGUGAAAGGCCAAUCAAGGUUGGUGAUAGCUGGUUCUCUUCGAAAUGCAUUUAGGUGCAGCGUCAUGUGUUUGCCUAUGGGGGUAGAGCACUGAAUGGGCUAGGGGGCAUACCGCUUACUGAACCCAAUCAAACUCCGAAUACCAUAGGUUUAGAGCAUGGCAGUGAGACUGCGGGUGAGAAGGUCCGUAGUCGAGAGGGUAAGAGCCCAGACCGUCGGCUAAGGUCCCGGAGUGUGUACUAAGUGGGAAAGGAUGUGAAGAUGGUUAGACAACCAGGAGGUUGGCUUAGAAGCAGCCACCCUUUAAAGAAAGCGUAACAGCUCACUGGUCUAGCGUUUUUGCGCCGAAGAUAUAACGGGGCUAAGUACACCACCGAAGCCACGGACUUGAUCUUUAAGAUUGAGUGGUAGAAGAGCAUUCUGUUCAGCGUUGAAUGUAUACUGUAAGGUAUGCUGGAGCGGACGGAAGAGAUAAUGUAGGCAUGAGUAGCGAUAAAAUGGGUGAGAAACCCAUUCACCGAAAGUCUAAGGUUUCCACCGGCAGGGUAAUCCGCGGUGGGUUAGUCGGUCCCUAAGGCGAGGGCGAAAGCCGUAGUCGAUGGGAAACAGGUUAAUAUUCCUGUACCGGCAUAUGUGCGUUUGUACGAUGGAGUGACAAAGAAGGUUAGAUGGUCCGGGUGUUGGAUAUCCCGGUUUAAGCGUGUAGUCUGGGAGGAUAGGCAAAUCCGUUCUCCUAAGGAUGAGGCGUUACGACGAGCCCCGUAACAAGGGCGAAGCCAUUUAUACCAUGCUUUCGAGAAAAACUUCUAAGGAGUGCAUGUGCUGUCCGUACCGUAAACCGACACAGGUAGACGAGAAGAGAAUUCUAAGGUGUUCGAGAGAAUCAUGGUUAAGGAACUCGGCAAAAUGUCACCGUAACUUCGGGAUAAGGUGAGCUCCCAUUAUGUGUAACCCCUCGCGGGUGUAGCAGAACGGAGUCGCAGAGAAGAGGUCCAGGCGACUGUUUAUCAAAAACAUAGCACUCUGCCAACUGGUAACAGGAAGUAUAGGGUGUGACGCCUGCCCGGUGCUGGAAGGUUAAUAGGAGGUGUUAGCGCAAGCGAAGCUCCGAAUUGAAGCCCCAGUAAACGGCGGCCGUAACUAUAACGGUCCUAAGGUAGCGAAAUUCCUUGUCGGGUAAGUUCCGACCUGCACGAAUGGCGUAACGAUCUGGACGCUGUCUCAACCAUGAACUCGGCGAAAUUGCAGUAGCGGUGAAAAUGCCGUUUACCCGCAGCAGGACGGAAAGACCCCGUGGACCUUUACUAUAGUUUGGCAAUGAUACUUGGUAAAUCAUGUGUAGGAUAGGUGGGAGACGUUGAAAUGUGGUCGCUAGAUUGCAUGGAGUCGUCCUUGAAAUACCACCCUUGGUUUGCUGAUUAUCUAACCUAGCCGGUGUGUAACCGGAGGGACAUUGUCUGACGGGUAGUUUGACUGGGGCGGUCGCCUCCGAAAGAGUAACAGAGGCGCGCGAAGGUAUUCUCAGAUUGGUCGGAAACCAAUUGACGAGUGUAAAGGCAUAAGAAUGCUUGACUGUGAGACCUACAAGUCGAACAGGUAGGAAACUAGGCCUUAGUGAUCCGGUGGUCCCGAGUGGAAGGGCCAUCGCUCAACGGAUAAAAGGUACCCCGGGGAUAACAGGCUGAUCUCCCCCAAGAGUUCACAUCGACGGGGAGGUUUGGCACCUCGAUGUCGGCUCAUCACAUCCUGGGGCUGUAGCAGGUCCCAAGGGUACGGCUGUUCGCCGUUUAAAGUGGUACGCGAGCUGGGUUCAGAACGUCGUGAGACAGUUCGGUCCUUAUCCGCUGCGGGCGCAGGAGAUUUGAAGGGGUCUGUCCCUAGUACGAGAGGACCGGGAUGGACAGAACUCUGGUGUUCCAAUUGUUCCGCCAGGAGCAUUGUUGGGUAGCUAUUUCUGGAACAGAUAACCGCUGAAAGCAUCUAAGCGGGAAACUGGCCCUAAGAUGAGAUCUCCCUGACUUUAUAGUCAUUAAAGGACACAUGUAGAUUACGUGUUUGAUAGGCUGGGUGUGUAAGCGUUGUGAGGCGUUGAGCUGACCAGUACUAAUAGUCCGUAAGGCUUGAUAUA
rfam:Denitrovibrio acetiphilus DSM 12809, complete genome.